rnacentral:rRNA from 1 species
GUGCCAGCAGCCGCGGUAAUACAGAGGGUGCAAACGUUGUUCGGAAUUAUUGGGCGUAAAGCGCGCGCAGGCGGGAUUGCAAGUCGGAUGUGAAAGCCCUCGGCUCAACCGAGGAAGUGCGUUCGAAACUGCAGUUCUUGAGUGUCGGAGAGGGUGGCGGAAUUCCUGGUGUAGAGGUGAAAUUCGUAGAUAUCAGGAGGAACACCAGAGGCGAAGGCGGCCACCUGGACGAACACUGACGCUGAGGCGCGAAAGCGUGGGGAGCAAACAGGAUUAGAUACCCUGGUAGUCCACGCCGUAAACGAUGGGUGCUAGAUGCCGGGGGGAGCGACCCCUUCGGUGUCGCAGCUAACGCGUUAAGCAUUUUGUUUGGGGAGUACGGCCGCAAGGCUGAA